rnacentral:rRNA from 1 species
GUGGAUUAGAUACCCUGGUAGUCCACGCCGUAAACGAUGAGUACUAAGUGUUGGUGUAAAUCAGUGCUGAAGUUAACGCAUUAAGUACUCCGCCUGAGUAGUACGUACGCAAGUAUGAAACUUAAAGGAAUUGACGGGAGCCCGCACAAGCGGUGGAGCAUGUUGUUUAAUUCGAGGAUACGCGAAGAACCUUACCAGGUCUUGACAUCCGGUGCAAAACUAUGGAGACAUAGCGGAGGUUAACAUCGAGACAGGUGGUGCACGGUCGUCGUCAGCU